rnacentral:rRNA from 1 species
GAUGAACGCUGGCGGCGUGCUUAACACAUGCAAGUCGAACGAGCCUUCGGGCGAGUGGCGGACGGGUGAGUAACGCGUGGGAAUCUGCCCUCAGGAGGGGGAUAACGGCCGGAAACGGCCGCUAAUACCCCAUAUGCCGAGAGGUGAAAUGAAUUUCGCCUGAGGAUGAGCCCGCGUCUGAUUAGCUAGUUGGUGGGGUAAUGGCCCACCAAGGCGACGAUCAGUAGCUGGUCUGAGAGGAUGACCAGCCACACUGGGACUGAGACACGGCCCAGACUCCUACGGGAGGCAGCAGUGGGGAAUUUUCCGCAAUGGGCGAAAGCCUGACGGAGCAACGCCGCGUGAGGGAUGAAGGCCUCUGGGCUGUAAACCUCUUUUCUCAAGGAAGAAGACAUGACGGUACUUGAGGAAUAAGCCACGGCUAAUUCCGUGCCAGCAGCCGCCGUAACAC